CCAAAAAUUUCUUUUUCCUCAAGGAAAACACUCUCUUCCAUUUUCUCUCCCCAAAACCGAAAUCCCAAGUCUCUCUACUCUCCAUUUAUGCAAAUUUUCUCUCCAUGAGCCAAGAGCACUCAUUUCCGCAUUGAAGGAGGGAGAAGAUCAAGAGCACACUUAGGUAAAGGUUCAAGAGAGGCUUGUACGGGUAGGAUCUUAAGGAUUUAUCACUUUGGUGAUCAAGAGAAAGCAAGGUAAGCUCAAAGGCAAAGUGGAUCAGUGAGUGUUGGAGUUUAUCUUCGAGGAUGCAUAUGUGGACUGAACUUUUGGGAAUUUAUGUUUUGGGGACUAGAACCCAUAUGAUAAUUAAGAAUUUAUUUUGGGCUUGUUGAAUGUUUUUAUAUUAUGACAAUGUAAUUCACUUUUAAGUAUGCACAUACUUAUGAACUAUUGCAUGUUUUGAAUUUUUUUUUAUUAUGGAUUUUUGGUUACUUUAUUUUAGCAAACAAUUAUGUUUUUUCGCA